CUCUUAACCAGGUAUGAAUUUGACUUUUUCCUAUCCUCUUUGCUUUGAUCUUAAUACUGUAGCUCAAGAUUUUGAUGAUUUUAUUAGGGUUUAAUCUCAGGAUUUCUAUUAUAAUCUAGGGUUUAGUUUUGGGGUAAUCUAGGGUUUGGUUUUGGGAAGAGCAGCUAAGAAUGAGUCUAAAUCGGUAAGAAUGAGAAUGGGUUAAUCGGAGAUGGGGGUUUGAGAGUUCUUGGAUGAUGAUAAGAGUUGGGUUGAGAUCGAUUUGCAACCAUAUGAAGAAAUCAAUCGAGAAAAAAUAUUCCAGAGAUGUUGUUGGUGUUGCUACCAGAGAAGCUACAUCAAUGGGGCAAUGGAUUCUGGGGGUUGCUGUUGGUGCUGGAUGGCAAAGUGUCAUAGAUUAUGUGAACCUAGCCUGCUAUUACUUGGUCAGAAUUCCUGUUGGAAUGAUCCUCGGUUACCUUAUCAACAAAAGCUAAAUCCAGAGAUCGUACAGACUUCAAACAACUAAUGAUAUGCAUCCAAUCCAGAGAACAAUCCUACAAUCCAGAGACCAUAAACUUUCCAGAAGCUUAAGGCUUUCCAUUAUGUACCUCUCCCUGUUCUACUUCUCUAUGUUUAAUUCAUCG